rnacentral:tRNA from 1 species
CUGGGGUUGCAGCUCAGUGGUAGAGUGCUUUCCUAGCAUGUGUGAGGCACUGGGUUCAAUCCUCAGUACCACAUA